CCUUAAUUUGAUGAUCCACACAACUCAAUCUACAUCUUGAAAUAUCAACCUGUGUAUUGCUGUCGCCAGUAAACCCCUAAGAGUCAGUUUACAACCCUAUUCCCCAAUAAAGACGUCAAGUCAAAAUACAGUCUAUGAUGUAGAGGUUAUGGGUUACAAUUUUCAUACAAAAACGAAUUAUUACAAUAAAAAUAAUAUGAAGGUGGACUUGAUAGUAAUAUUUACUAAAACCUAAUAUAAACAAGAAUCUAAGAUAUGC
rnacentral:rRNA from 1 species